GCAAGGAAGCUGGGUAGUAGAGCUUGACCGCAGGAAGCAAUGUGGUCACAAGGCUCACUUGCUGGAGUGUCACUGUUCUCCUGUGGUGUCGCCUAUCCUCUAGGGAGUGAGGACUCCCUGCAGGAAGGGGUUGAGGCCUUGGCUUAAAAUUGUAAUUGUGCAAUAGAAGUUCUCAUGUCAGUGCCUUGCUGUGCCUGGGGAGUUCUUCGUGAAGCUAAGGGACAGCUGUCUCUGGGGCCUGUGAGGGCGUGAAGAGGCUGAGAGCUCAUGAGGGAAGAGUGAAGAUGGUGUUUUAGUCCUUAUUCUGUUGCUGCAGAGACAUCAUGACCAAGAAGCUCUUAUAAAAGAAAGCAUCUAAUUGGAGGCGUGCUUACAGUUUCAGAGGGUUAGUCCAUUGUUAGCAUGGUGGCUUGGGGCAGGCAUGGUGCUGGAGAGGUAGUUGAGAGCUGCAUCCUGAUCUGCAGACAGAGAGGGAGACACAGGGCUUGCCCUGGGCGUUUUCAAACCUCAAAGCUCAUCCUCAGUGACACACUUCCUCCAGCUAGGCUAUCUCCACUAAUCCUUUCAAAUAGUGCCACUCCCUAUUGACUAAGCAUUCAAAUAUGUGAGUCUGUGGGGGUCAUUCCUAUUCAAACCACCACAGGUGGAAACUGAGUGACAGCAGAGAGAGGAGGGCACCCCUUAAGACUUUCACUAAUGAUUCCAGGCAAGGUUCAGUGAGUCACAGAUUGGAGUGAGUUGGCUGGAAGAGGGUGUGCCCAAGCCAUCAGGGGGUCAUGAAGAAUUUGCCUCUAUAUGAUACUUAGAUCUGAUCUCUAGAAAUCGAGAUGAGGGACAGAGUCCUGGAAGAAGACAGGGGCAUCCUAAAUUCCGAUGUGUCUUCCCAAACACACAUGUGAAGAAGGAGGAAUGGCUGUUUGCACAGCGCAUGGCCUUGGGUACUGUAAUGGAUGACUGCCCAUGGUGUUCUCCUCUGAAAUGUCUAUUCAGUGACGGCCCUCUGUACACAGAUGUUGGGGUGAGGGAAGGGCGGGGCCCUCUCCAGUGCAGGGGUGAGUUUUACAGUAAGUAAUUGAGAAUAUGCUUAGGGUCAAGGGACAGUCUCACCCCUGCUCUCUGGCUGGUCUCUUUCCUUUUCACUGCUGAGUGCAAAGGCCGGUGGCGGGUGGUAGGUCCGAGGUUAUAAGAGACAGAAAGUGAAGCCGCAGCUUCUGAGAGAAGGGAGGCCAGAUUUCUUUGAGAGUGCAGCCCCUGCUAGGUUGACGAUGACCCAGUGGACGGCCACACAUCUAAGAGCAUAUGUUAGUGUGAGGAAUCAUCCCCGACUCCUUUUCCCCUUCAUCCAUGGAGUCAGGGUCUCCCAGUGUGAGUGGCAUCGUGGAAUGUGUCAGCCUGGCUUCUCCAGCUCUCUUCUCUCCCUUAUACCUCCGAGCCAACCUCGGACUUCUCCACAGGUGACAGGACGCCCAGAGCCCAAGGUGUGUGCAGGCAGGGUCCUGUGCUUUUUGCAGAGCUAGAGCCUUAUUACCGGGUGUCAAUGAUGGUGGCUUGGCAGGCGUCCAUGCCCGUGGACACUCCUGCCCGAUUGCUGAGCCAUGUGCUGGUGGCAGGUGCUGUGUGUGUCCAGAUAUUUUCUUUUGCAGUGGGAAUCCCACUAGAGCUUCGAAGGCAAGAUGUGAGGGAAGUCCUUCUCCAGGCACGUGAUCCUGUGUUCUCAGUGUCUGUGUUCAGGAGAUGCAUGCUUGAAGGGCAAACCCACCAGAGCUUUGGGAGACAACCGAGGCAUGAACAGCUUCAGGAAUGAGGACAUGGCUAUGGUGAAACAUGGAGAUACUGCCCAAAGCAUGUGAAGAGAGAGCACAGGCCCCUGAGAACGGACACCGUAGACCUGGCUGGAUGCUGACCCGAUGUGUGCAGUUCCAGGGAAUCAAGUGUUUGCCUUGGCAGGGCCCAGCCUCUCGGAGCAACUGACUGCUAUUUGUAGAGAACCCAAGGGCCAAAGCGGACCCAAGGUGUCCAUUGUCUAAGUGUCCAGUGCAUGCUAAUGACUAACUAGGAGAUUCAGUGUCUCUGGAGACAGGAAGCCCUAGCACUAAGAGGCUUCACAGGAAGGCCCUGGGCCUUCCCAAUUCCUGUGCAUGUGUGAGUCAGAACUCUGCAGAGGAACAGAGCUGAUGAAGUGGAUAUGUAUUAAAGGGGAUUUACUAGAUUGACUUACGUGGUAGAGGCCAGAUAGCCCAACAAUGGCGGCCUGCAUGCUGGAGAGACGGAGAACCUGGCAGCUGCUGAAUUCAUGAAGCUAGGUGCCUCCGCCGUCUCAGUCAGGGAAUGAUGUCUAGAGCAGUGGUUCUUCCUAAAACCUUUUAAUACAGUUCCUCAAGUGGUGGUGACCCCCAUCCAUAAAAGUAUUAGGUUGCUGCUUCAUGACUGUAA